GAUGAACGCUGGCGGCGUGCCUAAUACAUGCAAGUCGAGCGAACGGACGAGAAGCUUGCUUCUCUGAUGUUAGCGGCGGACGGGUGAGUAACACGUGGAUAACCUACCUAUAAGACUGGGAUAACUUCGGGAAACUGGAGCUAAUACCGGAUAAUAUUUUGAACCGCAUGGUUCAAAAGUGAAAGACGGUCUUGCUGUCACUUAUAGAUGGAUCCGCGCUGCAUUAGCUAGUUGGUAAGGUAACGGCUUACCAAGGCAACGAUGCAUAGCCGACCUGAGAGGGUGAUCGGCCACACUGGAACUGAGACACGGUCCAGACUCCUACGGGAGGCAGCAGUAGGGAAUCUUCCGCAAUGGGCGAAAGCCUGACGGAGCAACGCCGCGUGAGUGAUGAAGGUCUUCGGAUCGUAAAACUCUUUUAUUAGGGAAGAACAUAUGUGUAAUUAACUGUGCACAGCUUGACGGUACCGAAUCAGAAAGCCACGGCUAACUACGUG
rnacentral:rRNA from 1 species